rnacentral:rRNA from 1 species
UGGGGAAUAUUGCACAAUGGGCGCAAGCCUGAUGCAGCCAUGCCGCGUGUAUGAAGAAGGCCUUCGGGUUGUAAAGUACUUUCAGUCGGGAGGAAGGUGUCAAGGUUAAUAACCUUGGCAAUUGACGUUACCGACAGAAGAAGCACCGGCUAACUCCGUGCCAGCAGCCGCGGUAAUACGGAGGGUGCAAGCGUUAAUCGGAAUUACUGGGCGUAAAGCGCACGCAGGCGGUUGAUUGAGUCAGAUGUGAAAUCCCCGGGCUUAACCCGGGAAUUGCAUCUGAUACUGGUCAGCUAGAGUCUUGUAGAGGGGGGUAGAAGUCCAUGUGUAGGGGUGGAAUGCGUAGAGAUGUGGAGGAAUACCGGUGGCGAAGGCGGCCCCCUGGACAAAGACUGACGCUCAGGUGCGAAAGCGUGGGGAGCAAACAGG